UGAGAAAAGUUUAUAUCUAGAAUUUGGAGUGAUUUGAAGAAGAGUUGAGGUGAUUUGGCAUCAAUUUUUUAUAGAAAUUGUUCUAAAGAAGAUGAAGAACUGGGUUGCAUUUUUAGAUUUGCAGGGAAAUUAUCAAUUGUUAAAUAAGUUGAAGAAUAUUAUUUGAAGCUAAAAUUAGUAAUGGCAAGAUGAUGAGUGACGAUGAAAUUUGGUGGCUGCCAUUGAUGAUCUACUUCUAAUAGGUAUGAAGAAGAAAACAAAUUAGAACUAGAAACAAAUACAAGAAAAAGGGAG
rnacentral:lncRNA from 1 species